rnacentral:rRNA from 1 species
GACGAACGCUGGCGGCAUGCUUAACACAUGCAAGUCGCACGGUUGGGGGCAACCCUGGCAGUGGCGGACGGGUGAGUAACGCGUAGGAAUCUAUCCUUGGGUGGGGGACAACCGUGGGAAACUACGGCUAAUACCGCAUGAUCCCUGAGGGGCAAAGGCGAGAGUCGCCUGAGGAGGAGCCUGCGUCUGAUUAGGUAGUUGGUGGGGUAAAGGCCUACCCAAGCCUACGAUCAGUAGCUGGUCUGAGAGGAUGAUCAGCCACAUUGGGACUGAGACACGGCCCAAACUCCUACGGGAGGCAGCAGUGGGGAAUAUUGGACAAUGGGCGCAAGCCUGAUCCAGCAAUGCCGCGUGGGUGAAGAAGGUCUUCGGAUUGUAAAGCCCUUUUGGCGGGGACGAUGAUGACGGUACCCGCAGAAUAAGCUCCGGCUAACUUCGUG